AGCGAACGCUGGCGGCAGGCUUAACACAUGCAAGUCGAGCGGGCAUCCUUGUGGUGUCAGCGGCAGACGGGUGAGUAACGCGUGGGAACGUGCCCUUCGGUUCGGAAUAACUCAGGGAAACUUGAGCUAAUACCGGAUACGUGCGAGAGCAGAAAGGCUUAUCUGCCGAAGGAUCGGCCCGCGUCUGAUUAGCUAGUUGGUGAGGUUACGGCUCACCAAGGCGACGAUCAGUAGCUGGUCUGAGAGGAUGAUCAGCCACACUGGGACUGAGACACGGCCCAGACUCCUACGGGAGGCAGCAGUGGGGAAUAUUGGACAAUGGGGGCAACCCUGAUCCAGCCAUGCCGCGUGAGUGAUGACGGCCUUAGGGUUGUAAAGCUCUUUUCUCCGGGACGAUAAUGACGGUACCGGAGGAAUAAGCCCCGGCUAACUUCGUG
rnacentral:rRNA from 1 species